GAGAGGUCAAAGGUCAGAGAGGAGGAGGAGGAGGACACCUGGAGAGAGUUUGGUUCAGAUUCAAACAAACACGUGAGGAGAAACCCUGAAAAUGUCUCUCUGAUGUACUUCCUGUUCCUCCUCUCGUUCUCUCACUCUCACU